rnacentral:lncRNA from 1 species
CCAGGACCUCCACCAAAUCUAAAGGUGUUUAUUUGGCAGACCUUGGAGCAGCGCAACGUCAAUGGUCACCGCAGUGACAGCUUCCAGGCAUGAGAGCCGUUGCCGAUAAAGAGCGCUCGACUCAC